rnacentral:rRNA from 1 species
GGACGUAUAGGGUGUGACGCCUGCCCGGUGCCGGAAGAUUAAAUGAUGGGGUGCAAGCUCUUGAUUGAAGUCCCGGUAAACGGCGGCCGUAACUAUAACGGUCCUAAGGUAGCGAAAUUCCUUGUCGGGUAAGUUCCGACCUGCACGAAUGGCGUAACGAUGGCCACACUGUCUCCUCCCGAGACUCAGCGAAGUUGAAGUGUUUGUGAUGAUGCAAUCUACCCGCGGCUAGACGGAAAGACCCCAUGAACCUUUACUGUAGCUUUGCAUUGGACUUUGAACCGAUCUGUGUAGGAUAGGUGGGAGGCUAUGAAACCGGAACGCUAGUUUCGGUGGAGCCGUCCUUGAAAUACCACCCUGGUUUGUUUGAGGUUCUAACCUUGGCCCGUGAUCCGGGUCGGGGACAGUGCAUGGUAGGCAGUUUGACUGGGGCGGUCUCCUCCCAAAGCGUAACGGAGGAGUACGAAGGUACGCUAGGUACGGUCGGAAAUCGUGCUGAUAGUGCAAUGGCAUAAGCGUGCUUAACUGCGAGACCGACAAGUCGAGCAGGUGCGAAAGCAGGUCAUAGUGAUCCGGUGGUUCUGUAUGGAAGGGCCAUCGCUCAACGGAUAAAAGGUACUCUGGGGAUAACAGGCUGAUACCGCCCAAGAGUUCAUAUCGACGGCGGUGUUUGGCACCUCGAUGUCGGCUCAUCUCAUCCUGGGGCUGUAGCCGGUCCCAAGGGUAUGGCUGUUCGCCAUUUAAAGAGGUACGUGAGCUGGGUUUAAAACGUCGUGAGACAGUUUGGUCCCUAUCUGCCGUGGGCGUUGGAUAUUUGAAGGGGGCUGCUCCUAGUACGAGAGGACCGGAGUGGACGAACCUCUGGUGUACCGGUUGUCACGCCAGUGGCAUCGCCGGGUAGCUAUGUUCGGAAGAGAUAACCGCUGAAAGCAUCUAAGCGGGAAACUCGCCUUAAGAUGAGAUAUCCCUGGGGACUAGAUCCCCUUGAAGGGUCGUUCGAGACCAGGACGUUGAUAGGUCAGGUGUGUAAGCGCAGUAAUGCGUUCAGCUAACUGAUACUAAUUGCCCGUAAGGCUUGAUCCUAUAACA